rnacentral:lncRNA from 1 species
AGCAGGUCAUGGGUGCCGAUGAGUGUCCAUUGGUUGCUCAAUUGUGAUAUUAGCAGUUCCCUAUGAUAAAAGAUGGAGCUCGAGUAUAUUCUUUGCAAUUCAUGAGGUAACUGUACAUGCUUUAGUAUCUAACUGAUUUGGAAGACGGGUUAGCAUGUCUGUGGAUUUUAUGAUUUCUGCUGCCAAUAUAUGUUGUUGCUUAAAUGUUAAUCGUUGUUAUGCAGAAAACGAAGUCGUUCACUGUCCCCAAGGCGCCGCAAAAGUCGUUCUCCAGCCACCAGACAACAUAAAAGUCGCUCUCCAAUGAACUAUAGGAGACAAAAAAGAAGUAGGAGUAUAUCAUUGUC